UUUUUUUUAGUUAGAUAACAAACUGAAAUAUAUCAGAAACAGUAGUUAAAUGAGAAAAAAAAUAAAAAAAAUAAUGAGGCAUUCUAAUGGCAUGAACCACUUGACAUGUGCAACAUAUUACAUGUGACUACUUUUAUACAGGCUGCUGAUAAUGCUCUAUAACGCUGGGCCGAGGGGUGGGGAGUGUUGAAAAAAAUGUAGAUGGCAGAAACAUCAUUUUACGUUAACUAAAACAACUAUAUGAUGACAUAAAUAAUUUGCCUGAUAG